rnacentral:lncRNA from 1 species
AGUCUUUUGUGAGAGGCAGGGCUUGUAGGCAUAUUUCAGUGGGUCCACUUAUUAAAGAAGCCUACAUUUUUCUCCAUAUAUUCUAAGAAACACCUGUUUCAUCAUAGGUCUGAGCAGACAGACAGAAGCCAGCACAACUGCAGGAGAAAUGAAAUGAGGUUCUAAGCCACCUUACAGCUUAUAUUGGCCCCACCAGUCUUUUUGUUCAUUGGUUACGUGAGUCAAAUUUAUAUCCCUAAAUCCGGAAUAUGCUGCCUCCAGAAUCCAAAGAAGCCUGAGAAGCAUGGUGAUUCCUUCUUAGUGGUGGAAAGAAUGAGUUAUACACAAGAUGAAUGGAUUAACCACUGGAAGACCUGCACUACUACAAAUGUUAAAGAAAGUCCUUCCAAGAAAGAAAAAAGGCAACUUAAUGGAAACUUGUGUCUACCAAAUGGAAAGAAGAGCAAUGGGAAUCCUAACUACGGUACACUGAAGAACACUUUUGCAGCUGACUAACAACUCUUGAUAUUGAGAAAGUUAUCAGAAUUAUUUGCAAAUCUCCUCUCAGAUUUGCAAAGGAUGCUGGCAUUUCUCCAUGAGGCAGGAGUGUGAGAAAAAAAGUUGAAUGUGGUGAUGGGGAAAACACUGAAGUUCAAAAGAAGCGAAGACAAGAAGCUACUCAUGGCAGCAGCUUUUCCCAUAAAUCAAGAAAUGCUACAGAUUAUAAAUGAGAUGAGACUAUCAAGAAGAGACCUAAUAGGAGUGUGAAGACCAAAAAUUUAAAAGACGUGGUUAUAUACUUUGAGUAAACUCUAUAUAUAGGACAAUGUUAUUGUUUGGUUCUGUGUUCCUCACUCAAAUCUCACCUCAAAUUAUAAUCCCCAUGUGUCAAGGGCAGGACCAGGUGGAAGUAACUGGAUCAUGGGGGAAGUUUUCCUCAUGCUUUUCUCAUAGUAAGUGAGUUCUCAUAAGAUCUGAUUUUUUUAUAAGCAUAUGGCAUUUCCCCUCCUAGCAUUUUGCCUCCUGCUGCCUUGCAAAGACGGCAGUUGCUUCCCCUUUGCCUUCCGCCAUGACUGUAAGUUCCCUGAGUCCUCUCCAGCCAUGUGGAACUGUGGGUUAAUUAAAUCUCUUUCCUUAUAAAUUACCCAGUCUUGGGCAGUUCUUUAUAGCAGUGUGAAACUGGACUAAAAUAGAAAAUUGGUACCAGGAGAGUGAGGCACUGCUGUAAAGACAUCACUAUAAAGGCACCUGAAAAUGGAAGCAACUUUGGAACUAGCUAAUGGGCAGAGGUUGGAACCAUUUGCAGGGUUCAGAAGAAGACAUGAAGAUGUGGGAAAGUUUGGAAAUUCCUGGAGACUUGUUGAAUGCUUUGACGAAAAUGCUGAUACUGAUAUGGACAAUAAAUUUCAGGCUGAGAUGCUCUCAGAUACAAAUAAAGAACUUGUUGGGAACUGGAAUAAAGGUGACUAUUUGCUAUAUAUGCUUUAGCAAAGAGACUGGUGGCAUUUUGCCUCUGUCCUAGAGAUCUGUGGAGCUUUGAACAUGAGAAAGAUGAUUUAGAAUAUCUGGUGGAAGAAAUUUAUAUGCAGCAAAGUGUUCAAGAAGUGACUCGGGUGCUCUUAAAACCAUUCAGUUGUAUGCAUUCACAAAGAUAUGGUUUGGAAUUGGAACUUAUGUUUAAAAGGGAAGCAGAGAAUAAGAGUUCAGAAAAUUUGCAGCCUGAUGAUGCAAUAGAAAAGAAAAAUCUCAUUUUCUGGGGAGAAAUUCAAGCCUGCUGCAGAAAUUUGCGUAAGUAACAAGGAGACAAAUGUUAGUCACCAAGACAAUGGAGAAUAUGGCCUCAGUCAAUGUCGGAUGUCUUCACUGCAAGCCCUCCAAUCACAGGCCUGAAGGAUUGGAGAGAAAAAAUAAUUUUGUGGGCAAGGCCCAGGGACUUGCUGCUUUGUGCAGUCUCUGAACUUGGUGCCCUGCAUCCCAGCUGUGUCUAAUAGUGGCCAACAUACAGCUCAGGCCAUUGCUUUAGAGGGUGAAAGCCCCAAGCCAUGGUGUCUUACAUGUGGUUUUGGGCCUGCAGAUGCACAGAUGUCAAGAAUUGAGGUUUGAGAACCUCCACCUAGAUUUCAGAGGAUGUAUGGAAACUCUUGGAUGUCCAGGCAGAAGAGUACUACAGGGGCAGAGCUCUCCAUGGAGAACAUCUGCUAGGGCAGUGCAGAGUCCCCACUGGGGCGCUGACUAGUGGAGCUGUGAGAAGAAGGCCACCAACCUCCAGACCCCAGAAUGGUAGAUCCACCAACAUCUUGCAUCGUACACCUAGAAAAGUCACAGACGCUCAACAACACCUCAUGAAAGUAGCCAGGAGAGGCGCUGUAUCCUGCAAAGCCACAGAGGCAGAGCUGCCCAAGGCUGUGGUAUCCCACCUCCUACAUCAGUGUGAUUGGAUGUGAGACAUGUAGUCAAAUGAGGUCAUUUUGGAACUUUUAAGACUUAAUGACUGCUUUAUUGUAUUUUGGACUUGCAUGAGGCUUGUAGCCCCUUUGUUUUAGCCAGUUUAUCUCAUUUGGAAUGGGACUAUUUAUCCAAAGCCUGUACCCCAUUGUAUCUAGGAAGUAACUGACUUGCUUUGGAUUUUACAAGCUCAUAGGCAGAAGGGACUUCCCUUGUCUCAGAUGAGACUUUGGACUGUGGCCUUUUGAGUUAAUGUUAAAAUGAGUUAAGACUUUGAGGAACUGUUGGGGAGGCAUGAUUAGUUUUGAAAUGUAAAAAGACAUGAGAUUUGGGAGGGGCCAAGGACAGAAUAAUACGGUUUGGCUCUGUGUCCCCUUCCAAAUUUCACCUUUAAUUGUAAUCGCCAUAACCCCCACAUGUCAAUGGUGGAAACAGGUAGAGGUAAUUGGAUCGUGGAGGCAGUUUCUUCUAUGCUGUUAUUCAUGAUAGCGAAUGAGUUUUCAUGAGAUCUGAUGGUUUUAUAAGCAUCUGGCAUUUCUUCUGCUUGCACUUCUCAUUCCUGCCACCUUGUGAAGAAGGUGCUUUUCUUCCCAUUUGCGUUCAACCAUUAUUAUAAGUUUCCAGAGGCAAACCCAGCCACACAGAAGUGUGAGUCAAUUAAACCUCUUUUUUAAUAAAUUACCACUCUCAAACAGUUCUUUAUGGCAGUAUGAAGACAGACUAACACAGAAAGAUAUAGCUGUUUUGGAAACAUCAGAAGUACAGUUGUAGCAAUAAAUAAAAUAUGAAUAGAUUAACUUUCGUACACCUAUUUGUGUUGAAAGCACCAGGAGUCAUAGCCAACAAUCACUUUAAUAUUUCUCCAGCUAAUUCUUCUGAUUUAUUUUUAUGUUUGGUUAGCCAGUGACUUCCCCACUAGCUAAAAAAUAUUUUUAAAAGUAUGUAUGUGUUAAUAUAUCUUGACUACUUUUUAAUUUUCCAAUUAAAAAAUAAAUCACACUUUAAUCUCUGUGUCUUGAUUUUUCUCAUUUAAGAAGAGCUCAUUGACUUAGGGGCUACAUACUAUAUGACAAGUUACAUAAAUCACAAUUUUCUUAAAUAUUUCCCUAUUGAUGGUUACUCAGUUUUAUUUUUUUUAUUUUUGCCAUUAGUAACAGUGAAGAAAUUAAUGAUCUUGCAUUUAAAUUUUAAGUACAGGUGAUUGGCUUCUUUUUACAACAUUAAAGAGUUGUAAUUGACAUACAAUAAACUGUAAUUAUAUAGUAGG